GAUGAACGCUGGCGGCGUGCCUAAUACAUGCAAGUCGAGCGAAAAGACGAGGAGCUUGCUCCUCUGACGUUAGCGGCGGACGGGUGAGUAACACGUGGAUACCCUACCUAUAAGACUGGGAUAACUUCGGGAAACCGGAGCUAAUACCGGAUAAUAUAUUGAACCGCAUGGUUCAAUAGUGAAAGACGGCUUUGCUGUCACUUAUAGAUGGAUCCGCGCCGCAUUAGCUAGUUGGUAAGGUAACGGCUUACCAAGGCAACGAUGCGUAGCCGACCUGAGAGGGUGAUCGGCCACACUGGAACUGAGACACGGUCCAGACUCCUACGGGAGGCAGCAGUAGGGAAUCUUCCGCAAUGGGCGAAAGCCUGACGGAGCAACGCCGCGUGAGUGAUGAAGGUCUUCGGAUCGUAAAACUCUGUUAUUAGGGAAGAACAAAUGUGUAAGUAACUAUGCACGUCUUGACGGUACCUAAUCAGAAAGCCACGGCUAACUACGUG
rnacentral:rRNA from 1 species